rnacentral:rRNA from 1 species
CUGCGAUAAGCGCCGGUAAGGUGAUAUGAACCGUUAUAACCGGCGAUACCCGAAUGGGGAAACCCAGUGUGAUUCGUCACACUAUCAUUAACUGAAUCCAUAGGUUAAUGAGGCGAACCGGGGGAACUGAAACAUCUAAGUACCCCGAGGAAAAGAAAUCAACCGAGAUUCCCCCAGUAGCGGCGAGCGAACGGGGAGGAGCCCAGAGCCUGAAUCAGCAUGUGUGUUAGUGGAAGCGUCUGGAAAGGCGCGCGAUACAGGGUGACAGCC